CUCUCCUUUCCCACUCAGCCCCUCACCCCGACUCCCCUCUCUCUUCCUCCCGCCCCUCUCGCCGCCAUGCCUCCGCCUGCUGCAGCCGUCGCUGGUCUCGCGCCUCCCUCAGCCGCCGUCGCCUAUGCCUGUCCCGCGCCUCCCUCCGCCGCUCGCGCCGCCGCUUCCCCGUCGAGCUUCACGUCCUCGGGAGGAGAGGAAGCUAGCACUGCUCUUCCCGAGGGACGCGCCGUCGUGCCAUCGACAGGAGACGGCCAGGCAGAGCGCGCCGUCGCCACCGGCUGGCGCGUCGAUGGGAGGAGGCCAGGGUUAGGGUGCUCUCCUCCUCGCGCCUGUGGAUCUCCUGGCGCUGCGGGCUGCCGGAGCUGAAGCUUCUCCUCGCGCCGCAGCUGCCGGGCUCAAAUCUCUCCUGCACCUUGCAUCGCCGGCUGAUUGACUCAGAGCUCAUCCACCUCGCGCCCCCGAGCACUACUGCUUCCUCCUCCCUCGAUCUGAUCCUGCAACCUCCUGCUUGCUCUGGUGCUGCUGGUUAUUGCUGCUACUGCCAUGUGCCCCCGCAAGCUGCUGCUCCUAUCUGUGCACUUGUGCUGAUGCUAAUGUGUGGUGUUGGUCUACUAAGUACUAAGUACUGAACUACUAAUUGCUGCCUGUGUAACUUCUGUUGUCCAGUUGGUUGCUAGCUAUCGAUUUUGUUGUUGUACUGAUCUGUUCUUGCCCUGGACCUUUUAUUGUGUGGUGUGUAGGCUUGUAGUGAUUUGUUCUGAUGUACUGCUGGCACUGUGUUGGUUGUAGGAAUCAAAUCUGACAGGAAAUCAUUCAAAUCAGAAUGUCAACAUCGCAGAUAGUGUUCUCAGAUCAUAAUCAUGUGUUGCUUGAUGGCAAAUUGCUCUUUGUUGCCUGUAUCCCUACAAUUGUAUAGAAAACGCUUAAUUGCGCCUAAUCACGUCUAAGCUAGAAAAAGCGCAAGUAGGUGGCCAAACGCAUAAUUAACACCUAGCGUUUCUUUGAACUUUGAUUGUGAGGCCUCUUCUUGACAGCUGAUGCUUCCUUCAUGUGGGGUAUAAGAUGUUUUUGUAGAUUAUUUUCCUGUCCAAGCAGUUAUAUUUUCUGAUAGAUAGAUUGGAAAACACAACAGGAGUUUGGGUUUGUUUUCAUUUAGCAGAACACAUCAGUGGUCGAACUGAACUAGAAUACAAUGUGUAUUUUAGUUUAAGCAAUGUAGGAUUCACCGAUGUAUGUGAGAGCAACAUCUUUCGGGAAAUUUCAUUAAUUAAUUUUACUUCCAACUAAGUAUAUUUCUUUUGUUUCAAUAAGCAUUAUGCACAACUGAAGGACUGGCCGCGCAGCUGCUCCAGUUUCACCGCCUCUCUCUCUCUCUCUCUCUCUCUCUCUUAUCUUCUUGGAUUGCAGGUCAGCAGUGUCAUGGAGCCGGAUGAGGUCUCCCACCGUGUAGCUUGGAUGGAAUCUCCAGCAGAUCAGUGGCCAGAAUGACAUGCAGUAAAUGGUUCAGGUUUGAGCAAGGAAUGCAAAACUCUAGGAUUGAGCCCGUGCUGGUCUAUAUUUUAUAUUGGUUUUUGCACCCUGCAGCCAGUGGUAAGACACACAAUUCUGAUUUAAUUUUAUACUCUGGGCGAUUACCUUGAAUGGUUCGUCGCUGCACGUUUGCCAUACAUAUGCUCACCUAUAUAAUUCCUUGGUCACUAAAUAAUUAUAAGUGCCCUUUUAAUUCGUACUAAUAUUUCUAGGAUAAAUUAUUCACCUCAGAAGGCCCUGUUUCACUUUCCCUUUUCUUCUUUUGUCCUUCUGGAUCUUGCCUCCAUUUGCUGGUCUUUCAUUAUCUUUUAGCUAAUACUGUGAUCCUUGUAUUUGCGUACUUUAGAGUAUAUGUCCUGCAAAGAUACUGAAGCUUAACUUGAUGAGAGAAAGGAAAACACUUGGGAAUUUAAAGGUUUAGAUGAUUUUUCCAUGGUUAUUCAUGGUGUCAUUGCCGAUGUAAGCUUUGCCGACUCUUUACAUUUGUUUGAGCACGAUGUAUGUGCUUUCUGUGAGAGUUAGGUAGUAAAUCAACUCCAGAUGAUGUUGCCUGCUGCUGGAUAUGCGUUGUUUGGGAGUGAGGUACUAAAAACUGCAUAUUUCCUACAUCAUAAGGAAAUCAUAAAAUAUACACGCACUUGGUCGACUAACAAAGCUUGCACCUCAGAGCAGGUCUGGUUCAUGUUUUAGGGAGGUUAAAUAAAUUUCAGUCAGCCGCAAAGUAAUUGCUAACAUUGUUGCAUUUGACCAUCAGCAGAUCAUCAUAUAUAAUUUUUAGAACUAAUUGUAUUUCUGAUUCACUGGCUUCGCUACCGUUUUAGCUUAAUGAAAUCUUCCAGUUCCCAGCUAUGCGAGUCAUAAUAUAUUUGCAUAUAUUAGGUAUAACACAUGUAUUACCCUAUUUUUUGAUACACUAUCCCACUUAUACAUGUUAGUGUUUUUUUGUUGAAGUUCGGUCAUUAGAUUAAACAAUCUCUCUUGAUUCUGUAAGAUUCAUGGAUCGUUUUGAGCUGGUGAGCGACUUGCACUUCUUGAAUCUACUAACAAACCAGCAAAGGUGCACAUCCAUGCAAACCAGAUUGAGCAUAAGACACUGGCUGAGCUCUGUGCAAUGAGACCAUACCGGUUUUGCUUGAAGGUUUCGGAUGCACUGUUGUCAUAAAAAUAUGGUCCCUGUGGAGUCAUGGUGGUUUGUUGCCUGCAAUAGAUGUGGCAAAAAAUCUUUGCCACAUGGAGCUGGCUACUACUGCACUGCAUGUGGAUACAGAGGAAAGAAGUUUAGAAAAUACCAAAGGAAGACUCGUGGGAGUAUGGUUUGGCGAGCAGAGCUUUACUAGGACUGAGUAUGACGAACAAGCAUGGAGGCAAGAAAUUUCUUCUGAAAAUAGGCCUUGAGGACCAGGAGUCCAGGACCGUGAGACUCUUUUGGUACUGUUUCUUGGCAGUGACAGGUCGCUGUCUAUCAUCUCUCUCUCUCUGGCUGCCCCUCCUUCCAUUGACUUGGCAUGCUGGUCACCGCUGUGUCUCCCGAUGGCUCGUCCCUCGCCAUCGUCGGGAGGGUCGUGUGGGCCGUUCUACAUUGGAAUCCAUAUAACUUUGAAAAGGUCACCACUGUGCCGUCUCUCUCUCUCUCUCUCUCUGACCGCCCCUCCCAUCGUCUUGGUUUGCUGGUUGCCGCUGUGUCCCCUGCCGGUUCGCCCGUCGCCAUCGCUAGAAGGGUCGUGUAGGCCGCCGCUUAUGCCACUGCUCUGCAGUGACCAGUGAGGACCAUGGCAUCGAGACAGCCCAAAAGGGAAACACCGCCGGCCACAGCGCCGGUGGACCCUGUCUGCCGGCAACUGGAUACCGCCGCCGCGGCCACUGCUGUUAUCGCCCUCCCUGCCACCCCACGCUACCCUGCCAAACAGGCCCAGCUUGCAGGCACUGUCAACCUGAUGGAUGGUGAUGAUUUAAUAGUCAAGGGGCUUCCACAGGAUGCGUAGAUAGAGAUGACAUUGCUCAAAGGAAAGAUACCGUACAUGGCCGUGUUGAAGGAGUUGUGGCCUCUUGUCUCUGCCUCAAAUGUCGAUGAUGCCUCUAUGUACUAUCACUCCUAUGCCCUUUUUAUUUUGUUUGUUCAGUGAAUGUUGGAAUAAACGAUUUAUUCAGCUGGAUCUAUACAACUAUGAACUAUUUGUGCAAUCUUUUAUUUAAGCUUUGAAAUGAGGGAAUUAAAUGUUGGGUUUGGGCAAUGUCCUUCCAUGUUUUUUGUUGGUGUUCGAUUAUUGGUAUGAAUCUCCUUGCCGCACUACAGGCUAUCAUGACAUGAAGCCUUAAUCUACUACCAUUUAUGUAUUGUGAACGGGUGCAUAGGCCCUUGCUCUCGAGUGAUCGGUUUUUGCAAUGUCUAUUGCUUGCAUAUCAUGACAGCUCUUCCCUGAAUGAAUACCAUCUCAACAUGACCUUUUUCGUAAUUUACAUUUUUUCUAUACUUGAAAUGCUUCAAUGUUGUAUAAUCGGAUUGGAUACAACUACCUGGCAGCGGUGCUGCCGGGUGCGGCAAGCCGCACUUCCUAACUAGUUAAGGAGAGAAUGACCGGAUUAAACCGGCUCAUGCUGCACACAUCGAAGCCCUAUAUGUUGUUGCAUGUGUCUGAAUUGGUAAGUCUCAGAAAUCACAUGCCAUGUAUGGAAAGUCCUAAGAAAAUAAUUGCAUGUGUCAGAUUUGGCAAAUCUCAAGAAAAGAACGUGGCACGUACCGCACUUAUCGGUUUGAAAGUAUCAACAAAAAAAUGUUUUUGUUUGGUGUUGGCCGAUUUGAAUCAAAGCUGGAUUGGAUUUGGUAUUGUUUGUGUGUUCUCCACGUACUCGUAUUAGAGUCUUUCAUAAUAAACAAUCUUGGACUAAUAUAUAUACACCGGUUAGCACACAAAUGUCAAUAUGCGACUGCAUAAUAAGUCACCAGCUACAAAACACAUACAUUUAGAAGUCAUGGUCAUAGAGUCUGAUCUCGAUGAAGUUGUUGUUCUAGACCAGAAAGAAGACGCCAUGCUUAACGUUUCUGAAGGUGGACGCGCUGGAGGUGGUAUGGAGGAACAAUUUCAUCUAGAUUCAUACAAUAUAGAAAACUCUCAUGCUGCCAAGCAAUUUGGGUCGCUAUCUCCAGUCCUGGAUGCCAAAGAACACAAAGAAAUAAAAGAGAUAGAGAGCGGUAUGCACGAAUGACCAAUGAAGAAAAACAGGAGAAGCUGAAAAAGCGACGUCAGGCCUAUCAGCGAAACAAAACAAAUAAAGAUUCAACUCAGUUGAAAAAAAUUGCACCCCCAAGGGAGGAAGAAAUAUGCAAAUAUGGAGCUGGCACAAAAAACAAAAAAUGUGCAAGAGAAAGGCAGAAAUACGCAAAUAUGCAGCCAGAGCAAAAGAAAGCUAGAAUAGCGCAAAUUGCAGUUAACCGUGAAUU